UACGUAUGGUGCUAGCGUUAUCCGGAUUUACUGGGUGUAAAGGGAGCGCAGGCGGCACGGCAAGCCUGAUGUGAAAGCCCGCGGCCCAACCGCGGGACUGCAUUGGGAACUACCGGGCUGGAGUGCCGGAGAGGUAGGCGGAAUUCCUAGUGUAGCGGUGAAAUGCGUAGAUAUUAGGAGGAACACCAGUGGGGAAGGCGGCCUACUGGACGGUGACUGACGCUGAGGCUCGAAAGCGUGGGGAGCAAACAGG
rnacentral:rRNA from 1 species